GAUGAACGCUGGCGGCGUGCCUAAUACAUGCAAGUCGAACGCUGAAGGAGGAGCUUGCUCUUCUGGAUGAGUUGCGAACGGGUGAGUAACGCGUAGGUAACCUGCCUGGUAGCGGGGGAUAACUAUGGAAACGAUAGCUAAUACCGCAUGACAACAGUUAUUGCAUGAUAACUGUUUAAAAGGGGCAACUGCUCCACUACCAGAUGGACCUGCGUUGUAUUAGCUAGUUGGUGAGGUAACGGCUCACCAAGGCGACGAUACAUAGCCGACCUGAGAGGGUGAUUGGCCACACUGGGACUGAGACACGGCCCAGACUCCUACGGGAGGCAGCAGUAGGGAAUCUUCGGCAAUGGACGGAAGUCUGACCGAGCAACGCCGCGUGAGUGAAGAAGGGUUUCGGAUCGUAAAGCUCUGUUGUAAGAGAAGAACGAGUGUGAGAGUGGAAAGUUCACACUGUGACGGUAUCUUACCAGAAAGGGACGGCUAACUACGUG
rnacentral:rRNA from 1 species